CAAGGGGUGGGGAGAGAGAACUUUACAAGGGAGGGGUCCUGGGUAAAUUGAACCUGGUACAAAAGCCUGACUCAGCAACUGUGUCUCAUUUUAAUCCCAGGAAGUACAGAGGAGCGUCUAAUAGAAAAUAAAGGCGUAAAUGACUGCGUAAGCUGCACAGCUGUGGUGAAUCAAGCCUUCAGUUUGUCACUUUCUGGGUCGUGCUGUAACUUCCUUGGAGCCAUCCUGCUACUGGGAGGCACACAGGAAAUGUCAACCAGGCCUUCACAGUCUAUAGAGGUGAUGUGACAGCAGAGCAUCUCCAAAUCCGUCAGUUUCCAAUCCAAGUAUUGACCAGAUGUGACCCUCCUUAGUUGAUGAAAUCACAGUCCACAGUGGUAUGGCUGCAGAGUCAUUGAAACACUUCUGGAGAGUAAGCAUCCAGGAGUCCAUCUCUGCCAUCAGAGGUUCAUGCUUGCAUGACCCAGUUUACAAAUAUCUGUAUAGGCAGCAGCGUAGUCUUUACUUUUCUCCUGGUAUGCAGCAUGGCAGAACAAAUGAUCUGAUCUACACCUUGAAUGGAAAGGGAAAACAAUGUAAAUGGGGAAAGCAUUGAAGAACCAUGAUUAUAUUGAAGACACUACAAUGUAAAUACUGGUAAAGGUGUUUUAUUUCUAUUUACAUGGGUUGCUAAUAGUGAUCAAUUAUUGGUAAAGCUGAGUUCCAGUUUCUAUGCUACUGCUGCUUUUUCCAGUUGGUUAUAACUCUCCUGAACUUUUUUUUUCCUUUUCUCUUUCUGGCUCAAUUUUUCAAAGAUUGGUCUCAGCUGAAAAAUGAAUGUUUGUUUAUUUUGGGAAAAUUUAAACAAAAUGUUUCUGACUUUCAGUUAAAGUGUAUUUUUCCCUCCUUGCAUUUGAUUUAACUUACACAUUUGAAUAGUUAGUGAUUUGGGGAGGAUGCAUUUGUAAGAAUGCCAAAAUGUAGGGGAGGCCGUCAAUUAAGGAUAUCUUUAAUAAAGAAUCCAUUUGUUACAGCCACCUCACUUUAAGGUGUCAGGUAGAACUGCACUAUGAGUUUUUUCAGCACUUGAGGAAAAUCAACUACAAAAAUUAGCAUUGAUGUGAUAGUCACGAAAUCAAGAACUCCCCUUAGGAAAUCUCAAAAGUUGAGGUUUUACCACCAUGUUAACUCCAUCACAUUAUUCAGAUAUAGUACUUUUUAUUGUAAUUUACCUUCUGAAUUGCAAACCUUAUCAUAUUACCAUGUAACUUUUUACAGGAUAUACAAAGUUAUUACAGUGGUAGGAAUCUUAAUGUUGGCUAUUUCCUUUAUAUGUGAAUGCUUGAUUUGUCAGCAUUAACAGUAAUUCUUGCAUUUAAUAGUAUGCCUCUUUAUGAUUUGCAGUAAUCAUUGGAGGGAGGUUAGUUUAAUAGCGUAACUAGAUAAAUAUGUGGUUAACAGGUAUUGAUUUAACCAAAGGGUUCCCAUUUUUUCAUAGUAUGGGACA